rnacentral:rRNA from 1 species
AUACGGAGGGUGCAAGCGUUAAUCGGAAUUACUGGGCGUAAAGCGCACGCAGGCGGUCUGUCAAGUCGGAUGUGAAAUCCCCGGGCUUAACCUGGGAACUGCAUUCGAAACUGGCAGGCUAGAGUCUUGUAGAGGGGGGUAGAAUUCCAGGUGUAGCGGUGAAAUGCGUAGAGAUCUGGAGGAAUACCGGUGGCGAAGGCGGCCCCCUGGACAAAGACUGACGCUCAGGUGCGAAAGCGUGGGGAGCAAACAGGAUUAGAUACCCUGGUAGUCCACGCCGUAAACGAUGUCGACUUGGAGGCUGUUCCCUUGAGGAGUGGCUUCCGGAGCUAACGCGUUAAGUCGACCGCCUGGGGAGUACGGCCGCAAGGUUAAA